rnacentral:sRNA from 1 species
CCUCCUCGGCUUGCUGGGGACAGAUUAAAUGAAUCUAUAACAUAUCAGUGCUAAAUCACCCAAAAAUGUGUUAGAAAAUACUUACGUGAGAAUCGAAACCACCAUAAGUAAGAAUUUUCCCCUCCCCGGCGAUAACAUCAGUGUUAGAGCCUAUAACCAUCCCUUCAUGAACUCCUUCCAUCAUGUCUGGAUUUCCUGCCUUCCCGAUACCAGCGAUAAAACCACCUUUGACACCAACGUCUGCCUUAUAAAUACCAGUAUAGUCCACAACAAGCGCAUUGGUAAUGACCAAGUCCAAAGUCUCAGCAUCGGAUCUGCCACUUGCCUGGCCCAUUCCCUCUCUCAG